GGGGGGCGGGGGGGGGGGGGGGGGGGGGGGGGGGGCGGGGGGGAGGGCGCGGCGUGGGUGGGGGGGGCGGGGGGCGAAGGGGGGGGUAAACCGGGAGGAACCUGCCCUUGGCUUUGGGAUAACUUCGGGAAACUGGGGCGAGUGACGGAUGGGCGCUGCCGCGGGGUGUGCGGGGGUGGAACGGUUCGGCGGUUGGGGCUGGACUCGCGGCUUAUCAGCUUGUUGGUGGGGGAGUGGCUUACCAAGGCUUUGACGGGUAGCCGGCCUGAGAGGGUGACCGGCCACAUUGGGACUGAGAUACGGCCCAGACUCCUACGGGAGGCAGCAGUGGGGAAUAUUGCACAAUGGGCGGAAGCCUGAUGCAGCAACGCCGCGUGCGGGAUGACGGCCUUCGGGUUGUAAACCGCUUUCGCCUGUGACGAAGCGUGAGUGACGGUAAUGGGUAAAGAAGCACCGGCUAACUACGUG
rnacentral:rRNA from 1 species